rnacentral:lncRNA from 1 species
UGGGGGCACACACGUUGGACCACUCUCCAGAGGCAUCAGCAAUCAACCCUGUUGCUACGUACUUGAUCUAGGGUUGCUGCUGAGGAGUUCCUGGUUCAUCACGUGGCCGUGCUGAGGCGCCACAGAGAAGCCUCAUUCAAAGUGGAGCGCAAACACCUUGUAGCAAGCCUGAAAGUCGCUAUAAUUGCAGACUGUUGACACUGGUCAUGUGUACACACCUGUGCCCAUGUACAAGCAUAGACUCACCUGCAUGCUGUUAUUUUACCCACUGUGAGGUCGAGGCUAGUGCUGGGACACACACCAGCUCGUGUCAUCCAGCUUCCUUUUCUUUCUCCUCCCUCAGCCCCAAACCCUAAUAAUGACCAUUUAUUGAGCGCCUACUGUGUGGCAGGCAAGAUACCAGCCUGCUGAUUCAUCAAUUUUCACCAAGGUUGUAGGGGUAGAGGAGUUGACUUUCCAAACAUGGCCAAACCGAAUCGAUCCUGUCGAUUAUUAAUGUCUGUGGUAGGUGCAGGAAGGGAGUGCUUCAUGUGUGCCUUAAUUUGUGAGGCAUAUAAUAUUGCAUGCUUUCUAUUUAAUCAUGGGUCAUUUAGUAAGUUGCCCCCAAACUUUUGUGGAAUAAGACUUUGUGUAACUAAGUAAUGACCGUUCAUUAUAAAUAAGUAUUGAGU